CAGUCACCAGUGGGUGGCAGAUUCAGAUUCAAACAACACGGACAAGUGAGUGCGGAGUGUAGACUGGUAGCUGGAGCGGUGCCAGUUUACCUUGAGCAAUACAUUGAACCCCGAACUUCUCAAACGAUUAAUUAUCUGUUUGUGCAUGUCUGCAUAUUUCAGGGCUGUGUGUGUGAAAAAAAACCCACAACGAAGUAAAGCACUCUUGUUUCAUUUAAGAGGGAUCAACAAAAGCUUUAGUCUUCUGAUGUCUUCUUCUUAUCAUUAUUGAAUACAUAUUAAAAUACAUUUCCAACAGUUUGGGAGACUUGCUAGACUCACACACAGUCCGCAUUGAUCUUCUCAUCUGUCUCGGUUAGACUCGACCCCCUUUUUGGAGUGUGUAGUACGACUGUGACCUGUUGCUGUAAAAAGUCUGUAGGUAUGUACACACUGUGGCAAAGUCAUUACAGUCAAGCUCGCACAGUCUGAAGGAGAGAAAGGACUGAUAUACUCCUACAGCGAAGCUCUGGUUGAGGGCCGAUCGAAGGCGGCUGCAGAGACUCAGCUCCGAGGAGACGUUUACCUUAGUCUUACACCAAUCCUAUCUGGAACCAAGCUGGUGGCACAGACGUGAUCUCUCUUCUUCACCUGGUGAACGUGAACUUGAAGCUAUGGCUAAUAAGGAUUGUGAUCAAGAUUUCUGUGAGGAGCUGAAGAAGUUCUUUGACAGCCGUGGCGGGAGCGUAAAAGUGCGGGAGCUCAAGGAGUGGUUGGCCGAAAAUUGCAAAGGCCGUAAGAACGAAGGUGGAAUCAGAGGGCUCUUUCCGUGCAUGGAGCAAAAAGCCGAUGAAGAUAUCACGCUUGAGGAGUUUAAGAAAUGCUGGGUCGAGAAGAAAAACAAGGGAUGUUCCUAAACAGAAUGUUUACUACAAAACCCUCAAGAUUGAAAAAUAUGUAAUAAAAUAAAAUAAUCACAAUAAUAGAGUAUACACUGACAGCAGAAGCCACAUUGGUUUUGAAAAAUGUGUCCAUUCAAUAUUGGCUUAGAAAAAAUAAAAACCAU
rnacentral:lncRNA from 1 species